AUGUACAUGCGCGGCACAUGACAGGUUUAGGGUAUGUUUGUUUCAACGUAAGUAGACUUAGGGUGGAAGUGGACUUUGGAUUGAAGUGGAGUUGGGGUGAAAAUUAGUUCACUUCUGCUGUUUGUUUCUAACUGUGGAAGUGCAGUUCUGCGAGUUCUGUUGUUUGUUUGGUAGGAAGUAGAUGACGUAAAAAGUAUAGCUCUUCACCCCCGGUAUACUUACCUCCUAAGUGAUAUUAUUGUCUAUUCUGUAACUUAUAGUGAAUAAUAAAUUAUAAUAAAUAAAAAUUAAUAUAAUUAUAUAUGUAUAUAAUUAUAUAUAUGUAUAAUUAUAAAAUAAAAUUUUAAAAAAUUAUAUUAUUUGUUUGCAUAUAAAUUAUAAUAAUGCAACAAAUAAAAUUCUAAAGUUAAAAAAUUAUUAACAUUUAACAAAUUCAUUUUUCAUCAUUUUCUAAAUAUACAUAUUAAACAAAAAAUAUAUUAAAACUUAUCUAACUAAAUUUGAUCAUAUUUUAGACAUACAAUCAAAAUAAAAAAUUUAAUUACUUCCACAAUUGAACAUAUUUGGAUGAAAGGGUAGAGAAGAGGUAACCCUUAUACAUUAAUCCCACUCUUGCCUUUUUUUCACUUCACCGGAAUUGACUUCGCCCCGUGGGAGGGCGAAGUCAAUUUUAUUAUUUUGGAUGAACUGGACUUUCGGGCGUAAUAAAAUUACGGUGAACCAAACAACGGAAGUGGGCAGUUUUCACCGAAAAUUACUUCCCCUUCCCACUUCCACCCCACUUUCGCGCAAACAAACAGGCCAUUAACGGAGAAGUUAAUUGCGACUAGGUGUAACGGAAAAUAAAAAUAAAAACCACAGGGUGACUAAGCGAUCAUACAUUUGAAAUGACAUAAUACUAAAGUUUUUUUAUUUUUUUUUACCUUUUUAAAAAAAAUAAUGUGUGCGCAAAAUGGGGCCCAUGCAACAUAAUUGAGCCUCCCUAAUGUAGCAUUUCGGUUUGUCAUUUGUAAUGGAGGAUCAAGUGAUGAUACAAUUAAGGAAUUAAUUAUGGGUGAAUCAAAUCUCCAAAAUCAGGAAUCUACUAACUUUGACAAGUAUUCAAAUCAUAAGCAAUUGUGGAAACUCAAGAAUGACAAUCUCUUCAGUAUGGCAACCACUCCAAAUAGAAAAUAUUUGGAUUCAAAUAUUGUACAUUUAUAGAAUGUAAUUAUGUAAAUAUUGUAAUCCCAAGAAUAACGGGAUUAUAUUUUGUAUUCAAUAAUUGUAUAUAUUGAAAGUUGGUUUUGUGUGUU
rnacentral:lncRNA from 1 species